CAGCAGCCACGGUAAAACAGAGGGUGCAAGCGUUAAUCGGAAUUACUGGGCGUAAAGCGCGCGUAGGUGGUUUGUUAAGUUGGAUGUGAAAUCCCCGGGCUCAACCUGGGAACUGCAUCCAAAACUGGCAAGCUAGAGUAUGGUAGAGGGUGGUGGAAUUUCCUGUGUAGCGGUGAAAUGCGUAGAUAUAGGAAGGAACACCAGUGGCGAAGGCGACCACCUGGACUGAUACUGACACUGAGGUGCGAAAGCGUGGGGAGCAAACAGGAUUAGAUACCCCUGUAGUCCCUGUCUCUUAUAC
rnacentral:rRNA from 1 species